ACGUGAUCAAAGUGUUUUCCGGUUAAACUGAUGCAGGAUCUGUCUUGCUACCGUCUGCUCUAAUUAUUGUGAUUUGAUGUAAAAUGUCGUUCAGAUGACACAUGCCAGUUGAAAUGUAGUCUGAGUUAUGGGAAAUUCUUCCUCUUCGGAGCUGCCAUUGGCAGGAGUCAUCUGCCUUGCUGUAUUUGGAUACACCUCUUUAAUUUUCAUAAUUGUGUUAAUCAGAUAUAUAUGUAUGAGACAAGGAAAGUGCCAAAAUGUGGAGUGUGGGUUGUGUGGGAAGGAAGGCGCACCGCAGUGUUCUCAGUGCUGCAUCAGUUGUUCAGAGGCGUCUGGAUGUACCGCCCCAUCUGUAACCGGAUGUUUGGAUAAAUGUUGUCCAAACAAAAAGCUUACUUGUGUUGAUGUUUUAUUAUGCCAGUGCUGUUUAGGGGAAGACAACUGUUUUACAAAAAGUGAAUCAAAGUUCUUUGAUUGUGAGGACUUUCUGAGGAAUUUUUCCUGUUAUCAGGACUACAUUCAUGGAAGAAGUUGUUGCCAUUACAGUUGUAGGGAAUUCUGGGAUACUUGUUGUAAUAGAAAGUAAUUACAACUUGAUCUGGACUAGGAAAAGAGAGAAUCAAGGAAAGUAGAAUGUAUUGAAGAUGGCACAGAAAUGUCAUUGCAGCAUUUCAAAGUUCAUUCUAGGGGUCAUCAUCAUAGAGCUAGGCAACAGCCAAGUAACCAUGGAAACAGUGACACUGACAUCGAUUUUAGUAGGCGCGAGAAACGCAGUCAAAUUGUUCACGUUACUCAGGUGCAGGGUGACAGAAAACAUAGCUCUGUGUGUGUUAGUUAUCUAAGUGAUUACGACGACGGUGAUGAAAGUGAUGAUGAAAGCGAUGAUGAUGAUGAUGAAAGUGAUUAUUUUGGCAGCUCUGAAUAAGAAGCAAAGUUAAGAUAAUAUUUUUGGGAUUUUGUGAUAUCUAUAUUUCAUUAAAUUGAACACCUAAACUAAGAUUUCUGUGCUAAAACAUGUGCAGAGCUUUUGUGAAAGUUGUUAAGGAAAAUUUGUUUUAUUUUUUCUUACAGUAUAUUUUUAUCAACAGGAAAUAUGUUUUAUGAUACUCAUUAAGAUUAAUAAAAAAGAUGUUAUUUCUGUGUAGUGAAUAUGACAAUUAUAUCUACGCAUUUAUAAAUGCCUUGACUUUCCUUAAAACGAUUGUUUUCUUCUUUAAUUACUUGUAACUCUUUAUUUCAUACGGCUGUUGGUAUGGACUACUAAAAAUGGAAAGGAAAAAAAUUAUUUGAGCCUUGCCAAACUUUCAUAUUUUAUACUGUAUUUUCAUUUUUCAUUAUGCUUAAUUAGUAUGAAUUCCUUUCAUUUUAACAUUCUAUUUACAUCUCGCUGUUGUCCAUGUAAUGAUAAAUUAUGUCACAUUACAAGAACAGUUAGCCCACUAUUGUAACCUGCCCCCUUUAUACUAGAGCUGUAGAAUUUGCUGUUAUAGGUCUUUGUUUGAUAAUAAUGUGAUAUCACUUUCCCAAAAGUAAUCCGUGUUAAUCUGGAUGAAGUAUGAAUAAGAUUUAUUAUACAUGUAUUCCAAACAGAAUUCAGGAGUCAGUCCGGUCGGUUCUGAAUGGGUCUAAAUUACUGGAAUACUCCCUUUCUUUAGCGCAUUGUAUCUUAAUUAAAUCCUCUUGUAUAAAAUGAAAAAAUGAUAUUGAAUCCGUCCAAUGAAAAAAUAUGAUAUUCAGAAAAUUUUCAAAUAAUUUAAUUAUUUCAAGGAUAAGCUUUGAGUAUGUUUAUCCAUGUAUUGAUUUUACAUACCGGUAUAUCUAGUUACAAGAAUUUUUACAAACUUUUUAAUUUGUUGAAACAACGAAUGGUAUUUUUAUUUAUAGAGAUCUGACAUUUUUUACAACAUGUAUAUUGAAUGUGACAUUUUGUGACAAUAUUUGUUUUCCCUGUUACACUAAAUACUGUUUUGUGUAUGGGCAAUCAUUCAGCAGAAUAAACAAUUUAAGUCAUGU
rnacentral:misc_RNA from 1 species